rnacentral:lncRNA from 1 species
UUUUUUUUUUUUUUUGGUAAGAAAGUACCUCUACUUACUACUCAAAGAGGGAUUUAGUCUUUCUGUCAACCUGCCGGAGUUUGCUCUGGUGUUUGUGGCUGUGGGGAAGAGAGAAGAAAAAACACGUCGGAGUUUUGGGAGCAACACGUGUCGUGGUUGAAUGGCACCGGAUUGACGUUCCUACAGUGGGAAGGCCAAUAACAUACAAUUCCAUGAUAAAGAGGGUCAGGCCAAAAUCCCCUCCAUCCCAUUGAUAUUGCAUACUUUCUUUGUUGGAUGGUUCUAAAUUAUUUGUCAUUUAUAUAAAUUAGUUGAUAUAUUUCUAUUUAAUUUCUUCAUUUAGUCAUUUACUCCUCAGGCACUCCGUAAAAGUUCAAUGCAUGUUUUUUUUUUUUGAGUCCACGUACUAUUAUCAAGAAAGUAAAACAACUACUUUUUUGUAGUAUGUAACAGUUAUCAAGUAAUUAAAAUCACAACAAUCUAAGAUUUGGUAAAACUUUCAAAUAUCUAAGAUUUUCCACAAAACCUAGGAUUGAACAAAUAUCAUAGCCCCACAAUUCUUUAUGAGUUAGAAACUACACAUCAAGUUUCAAAUUCUAUCCACUAUUAAUAAAAAUUGUAAUUCUUGAACUGCGACAAACUUUAUAAGAUGUAAGGAGCAAUAUUUACUGCAUACAUAUACAUGUAUUGUUUCUUGGCUUGAUUUGUCCUCAUAAAUAAGAUCAUUGCAUCGAUUUUGGUGAAGAAAAACAAUUAGUCGAAGCUCAAACUGCAACUAUUAUAACAUCUUCAACAAUUACAAUAGUGUCAAGAAAGACACCACGUAAAAUGUUGUUUAUUAGGCACUUACAAUAUUGCAAAGUAAGGUAAAUUACAAUAUGACGGUAAAUUACUGCAUCAUAAAUACGCUUCUGAAAGUACAGGCUUUAUUCGUACGCGCCCAGCUUAAAAUCUAUUUGUUCUCUGAAAUCUCCAUGUGCAAUCCCUUGGGGUAACGAAUACCAGUAG